CGCUCGCGGACCUUUCUGCCACUCUGUCACCCGCCCCCGGCUCCAGUACUGCCCCUUCGACUGCGCUGGUAUGAAAGUUGGUAACUCCGUCCUUAAAGCCGCCGUUAGGCAUCUCAGACCAGCCUUGGUGGAGAAAGUAAGUUAACAGGCCUGAAGGAGCCACCGAGUUACCAAACAGACGCCAGCUGCUGAGAGUAAGGGCAGAAGAGGACAGACGGCCGUUUGUCCGUGGCAUCAAGUACUAAAGAAGGACGUCCGGAUGUGUAUCCAAAUGUGAUCAGUGUGAAUUCAGUCCAGCCCCACUGCCGUGGCUAUUUUGUCUGCGGGAAGUGUCUCACGAUGCGCGUGUUUCAAGACUAUGUGGAUGGUCUCGUAGACCAGCAAGUGACUUUUGCAAUCCAGCCCCUCGACUGUCUUUCCAUUUGUGAGCUCUGGAUGCGGUACAGGGCAUAUGCAGGGAUUGUGCGGAGAUGUGAGCUCGUGCUUCCUGCCACGCACAGACUGCGGCAGGUGAUGACAUGGAGACUGCAAGAAGAUGCACCCAAUUCAGGACAGCUGUUGCCUACGUGGAAGGAGGGAAACCAGACUGAGGAGGGAAGAAUGAGGACUUGAACUUUACCUCCAGUGUGUUACUUCUUGUAUUUAAAAAAGCGAUGCAGAACUGUCAAAACCUUAAAAUUUGUUGAUUCCGGGCAAGUAGGUUCAAUCAUGCGUGCUGUGUUAUCUUUGUGCCUUUCUUUGAAAAAAAUCUUAUGAAAAUUUUCAAAUAUAUAUGGGAAGCAAA